rnacentral:tRNA from 1 species
GGGGCUGUAGCUCAGUGGUAAAGCGCUUGCCUUGCGUGUAUGAGGCAUUGGGUUUGAUCCUCAGCACCA